AUUGAACGCUGGCGGCAGGCUUAACACAUGCAAGUCGAGCGGAGCGAGGGUGCUUGCACCUUAGCUUAGCGGCGGACGGGUGAGUAAUGCUUAGGAAUCUGCCUAUUAGUGGGGGACAACAUUCCGAAAGGGAUGCUAAUACCGCAUACGGCCUACGGGGGAAAGCAGGGGAUCUUCGGCCCUUGCGCUAAUAGAUGAGCCUAAGUCGGAUUAGCUAGUUGGUGGGGUAAAGGCCUACCAAGGCGACGAUCUGUAGCGGGUCUGAGAGGAUGAUCCGCCACACUGGGACUGGGACACGGCCCAGACUCCUACGGGAGGCAGCAGUGGGGAAUAUUGGACAAUGGGCGGAAGCCUGAUCCAGCCAUGCCUCGUGUAUGAAGAAGGCCUUUUGGUUGUAAAGCACUUUAAGCGAGGAGGAGGCUACUAGUAUUAAUACUACUGGAUAGUGGACGUUACUCGCAGAAUAAGCACCGGCUAACUCUGUGCCAGCCGCCGCAGUAAAAC
rnacentral:rRNA from 1 species